CUGAGAGAUUACUUUAGGAUGAUGGAAGCUGGCUUUAGGCUUUAUUGGCUACUCCUGGUUAAGACGUUUUUGUCUUCAGCUUCAAUGAGCUGUGUUCAUAAAGAAGCAGAACAAUGGGGGAGAAUGAGGAGCUCUCAUGGAUUCCUUGCAAAGGAAUAAACUCAAACGAAGAGGACUACCCUUUCAGAGAUUUUCUUUCGCCAACGGAGGAUUUUCAACAGAAAGAGCUUCAGUGAUGGUUCGAAGCUGCAGAAAUAAUGUCGGGAAUGCGUUAUUGGAUGCAAAUGUUAGAGAAAUGAACUGCCUUCAAAUCUUAGUAAAAUCUUUAGCUGUAUCCUGUGCACUGUGACAUAGUCUAUGGCACUGGAGUCUGACCAUUAUGGUAUUUGCCAAGCAGACACAAAGGUUAAUUGAAAAUCUGUAAUAGCUACGAUACUAUACAGCAAAAUCCUCAUAGCUAUUUUCCUCAUUUAUAAAGGCUUGAGCUUGUCUUACCAUUAAUGUCAGGAGCACAAAUGAUUUCUUUGAAUGGGAUUUUUAGAGCACUUUAUCUGCAAAAGAGGAAAGAGUUGAUGCGUGCGGAUUGCUUUCCAGGAGGUAUGCAGUUCCUUUCAUAGGCUUACUUUAAAAUGCCUUCCUUACAUCUGCCUAAAACAUAUGAAAAUGUGCUAGCAGUGGAGUAAGAAACUAACACGGAAGUGUAACCAAGUCACAUAUGUUUGGGCUUUUGUCCUCCUGCAAAUAACCAGCUUUUAAUUAGAAUUUUCAGAUGAUGUUAUAAGACAAAUAUUCUAAUUUUGCAUAGGAGAACAAAAGGUCUCAUGACAAAAAAAAAAAAAAAAAGGAUAGAACUACACCCAGAGCCUGCACACCUUGAGCCUGAUUGCUCUCAGGUGAUUUUUCUCACAUCAUCCUCGAGAUUUGACCCUUGGGGCUGGGACUGUCAAUUGAGGCUUGAAAGGCUCUGAUUUUGAGAUUGUUUGCUUACUGACGCUUGAUCUUGGCUGAAUCACAGAAUUGUCUCCGCUCCAUUUUCUCAUCGGUAAAAGAAAGAUGAUCCUUGACACCUACUUGGC
rnacentral:lncRNA from 1 species